GACGAACGCUGGCGGCGUGCCUAACACAUGCAAGUCGAACGAAGUGGCGAACGGGUGAGUAAUACGUGGGUAACCUGCCCUCCUUUUUGGGAUAAGCCUCGGAAACGGGGUCUAACACCGAAUUAAGGGGGAUGGGCUCGCGGCCUAUCAGCUUGUUGGUGGGGUGAUGGCCUACCAAGGCGGUGACGGGUAGCCGGCCUGAGAGGGUGACCGGCAACUUGGGAGCUGAGAUACUGCCCAGGCUCCUACGGGAGGCCGCAGUGUGGAAUAUUGCACAAUGGGCGAUAGCCAGAUGCGGCGGCGCGGCGAGGGGGCUGGAGGCUUUCGGGUUGUAACCCUCUUUCGCAAUCGAACGGGUAGGUAAAGAAGAAGCGCCGGCUAACUACGUGCCAGCCGCCGCGGUAAUUC
rnacentral:rRNA from 1 species